UGGACAAACUACUUGAUGCUGGCCUCUAU
rnacentral:piRNA from 1 species